CACAAUUGAUAGACCACUAGCUAGUUUAACAAGAAAAAAAGAUCCAAAUAAGUACAAUCAGAAAUGACAAAGAUGACAUUACAAUUGAUCCCACAGAAAUACAAAAGACCCUUUAAAAGGUCUAUAAAAGACCUUAUUAACAGCUCAAUAUGCACAAAUUAGAAAAUCUAGAGGAAAAGGGUAAAUUCCUGAAAACACAUAAUCCCCCAAGAUUGAAUCAGAGACAUUGAAACCCUGAAUAGACCAAUAUAGAGUCAUGAAAUGAAACAGUAACAAAAACCCUUAUAAUUCAAUAAAAACUCUGGACCAGAUUGAUUCACAUCCAAAUUCUACCAGACAUAUAAAGAAGAGCUAAUAACAAUGUUACUGAAACUAUUCCAAAAAUUGAAGAGGGAGACUCCUCUCUCACUCAUUCUAUAAAGCCAGCAUGAGCCUGAUACCAAAAUCUGGCAGAGACACAACAUAAAACAAACAAACAAACAAACAAAUUCAGGCCAAUAACCCCAAUAAACAUAGAUGCAAAAAAUCCUCAAAACAAUACUAGCAAACUAUUCUCAGCAGCACAUCAAAAAGUUAAUUCACCGUGAUCAAAUAGGCUUUAUUUCUGGGAUGCAAGCUUGGUUUGACUUAUGCAAAUCAAUAAAUAUGAUUCAUCACGUAAACAGAAUAAAAACAAAAACCAUACAAUCAUAUCCAUAGACAUAAAAAAAGCUUUCAAUAAAAUCUGACAUCCCUUCAUAAUCAUAAUCCUGAACAGACUAAGCAUUGAAGAAACAUAUCUCUAAAUAUGAAAAUUCAUUCAUGGCAAACCCACAGCCAACAUCGUACUGAAUGGACAAAAGCUGGAAAUGGUUCCCUUGAGAACUGGAAGAACCCAAGGAUGUCCAAUUUCACCUCCUAUUCAACAUAGUACUGGAAUUCCUAUACAGAGCAGUCACGCAAGAUAAAAAAAUAAAAGGCAUCUAAAUAAAAGAAGUCAAGCUAUCUCUCUUUGCUGACAAUAUUAUUUCACUUAGAAAACCCUAAAGACUCUGUGAAAUGGCUCCUAGAACUGAUAAAUUCACUGAAGUUUCAGGAUACAAAGUCGAUGUACAAAACUUAGUAGUAUUCAUACAUCCCAACAGCAUCCUAGGUGAGAGUCAAAUCAAAAACACAAUCCCAUUUUCAAUAGCUACAAAGAAAAUGAAUUACCUAGGAAUACAGCUAAACAAGAAGGUGAAGGAUUUCUACAAGGUAAUCUACAAAACACUGCUGAAAGAAAUCAGAGAUGACACAAAUGAGAAAACAUUCUGUGUUCAUGGAUUGGAAGAAUCAAUAUCAUAAAAAUAGCUAUACUGUCCAAAGCAAUUUACAGAUUCAACAAUAGCCUUAUCAAACUAUCAAUGUCAUUCUUAACAGAGCUAAACAAAAACUCUAAUAUUCAUGUGGAAAAAAGAGCACAAAUAGCCAAAGCAAUCCUGAGCUUAAAAAACAAAGCUGGAGGUGUCACACUACCCAACUUCAAACUAUACCAUAAAGCUAUAGUAACCAAAACAGCAUUGUGCUACUACAAAAAACAGACACAUAGACUAAUAGAACAGAACAGAAAUCUCAGAAAUAAAGCUCCACACCUACAACUAUCUGAUCUUCAGCAAGGCUGACCAAAACAAGCAACAGGGAAAGGACUCCCUAUUCUAUAAAUGGUACUGGGAUAACUGACUAGCAAAGAUUAAAACUGAACCCUUACUUUUCACCAUAUAUAAAAAUUAACUCAAGAAGGAUUAAAGAUUUAAAUUUAAUACCUAAAACUAUAAAAAUCCUGGAAGUAAACCUAGGAAGUACCCUUAUUGACAUCAGCCUUGACAAAUAAUUUUUGAUCGAGUUCCCAAAAGCAAUUUAAACAAAAACACAAAUUGACAAGUGGGACAUAAUUAAACUAAAGAGCUUCUGCAUAGCAAAAGAAACUAUCAACAGAGUAAACAGACAUCCUACACAAUGAGAGAAAAUAUUCACAAUCUAUGCAUCUCACAAUGGUCUAAUAUCCAGAAUCUAUAAAGAACUUAAAUAAGCAAGCAAGAUCAAAUAACCCAAUUAAAAAUGGGCAAAGAACACGAACAGAUAAUUCUCAAAAGAAUACAUACAAGUGGCCAACAAACAAAAAAUGAUCAUCAUCACUAAUCAUCAGAGAAAUGCAAAUUAAAACCACAAUGAGAUAUGAUUCUGACACCAGUCAGAACGGGUGUUAUUAAAAAGUCAUUAAAAAAACAGAUGCGGCCAGUUCUGGUGUCUCACGCCUGUAAUCCCAGCACUUGGAGAGCCCGAGGCGGGUGGAUCACCAGGUCAGGAGAUCGAGACCAUCCUGGCUAACACGGUGAAACCCCGUCUCUACCAAAAAAUACAAAAAAUUAGUCUGGUGUGGUGGCAGGCGCCUGUAGUCCCAGCUACUUGGGAGGCUGAGGCAGAAGAAUGGCGUGAACCCAGGAGGUGGAGCUUGCAGUGAGCCGAGAUGGCGCUACUGCACUCCAGCCUGGGCAACAGAGCGAGGUUCUGUCUCAGAAAAAAAAAAAAAAAAUGCUGAUGAGGGUGCUGAGAAAAGGGAAUGCUUAUACGCUGUUGAUAGGAAUAAUAAAUUAGUUCAGCCACUGUGGGAAGCAGCUUGGAGAUUUCUUAAAGAAGUUAAAACAGAGCUACCAUUUCACCCAGUGAUAUAAUUACUGGGUGUAUACUCCAAGGAAAAUAAAUCAUUCUGCCUAGAAGACAUAUGUAGUUGUAUGUUCAUCGCUGUGCUAUUCACAAUAGCAGAGAAAUGGAAUCAACCUAGGUGCCUAUCAGUGGUGGAUUGGAUAAAGAAAAUGUGGUACAUAUACAUCGUGGAAUACUACGCAGCCAUAAAAAAUAAUUCAAUUAUGUCCUUUUCAGCAAUAUGGAUGCCGCUGGAAACUGUUAUUCUAAGCAAAUCAACAUAGAAACAGAAAAGCAAAUACUGCAUGUUCUCACUUAUAAGUUGAAACUGUAUGUUGAGCACUCAUGGAUAUAAAAAUGGGAACAGUAGACAUUGUGCACUACCUGAAGGGAGAAGAAGUCUGUGGGGCAUGAGGUGAAAAAGUACCUACUGGCUACUAUGCUCACUACCUGGGUGAUGUGAUUAUCUGUAUCCCAAACCUUAGCAUCAUGCAAUAUACCCAUGUAACAAACAUGCACAUGUACCCCCAGUAUCUAAAAUAUAAGUUGACUUGUUUUAAAAAAAGAAAAUGUCCAUUUUGAUGUGUUCUAUGUGCACUUGAAAAGAAUUUACAUUAACAAUAUUCUAUAUAUGCCAAUUAUGUCAAAUUAAUCAUAUCAUUCAUCUUUUAUUUACCCAUACUAACCUGCUUGAUCAGAGGGUUUUGUUGAAAUCUUCAAUACUAUUCUAAUUUUUGUCCAUCUCUAUUUUAAUUUCUGUCAAUGUUUUCUUUAUAUAUUUAUUAGUUAUGUUGAAUGUAUAACAAGUUUGGAUUUUUAUAUAUUCUUUCAAAAAGACAAUUUUAUCAUUAUAAAUGUCCCUAUUUAUCUCUGCAGUAAGUGUAAUUCUAAAAUGGCCCCUAAGUUUCUUGCUCCCUUGCAUACAUGCCCUGUAUAAUCCCCUCCAUUAUUAAAAAUAAUUGCAGAAGAUUUGAACAUAUGUAUUAAUCUCUGUAGGAUUUAACUUUCAAGUUCCAACUUACUUGUUCUUAACCUCCACUCAUUCUCUUUUCAGCCCAGUAAGACCAUUGCCUUGUGCUUAGGUUUUAUUCCUUUAUAUCAUGACUUAAAACACUUAAGAGAAUAAGCCAAAGUAAAUUUACAGCUCUCAUUACAUGCUUUCCUUUUCUCAAAGAUCAUAGCUCCUAAGUCAUGCCUAUGUUGGUUUUUAAUGCCUUCAAAGUAUAAUUUCACGUAUUUUUUUCUAGCUCUUAUGAUUUUUUUCAGUGCUAAUUUAUCUAAUACUCUGACAUACCCUCAGAUGAAAACUGUUAAUGUGUUUCUGUCCCCAUUUUUAGAUGAGAAAACUGAGGGUCAGAGAAUUUAACUGAUUAACUCAAAGUUUCCCUGAUAGUGAUGGAAUAAAAUUAGAUGUUAUUUCCCAAUAUACCACGUUGCCUUUCUUUUUAUUGUUGUUAUUCUUAGAUGUCAGUACCAUUCUGAAGUUUUUACAUGUUUUGAUAUAAUUUGUUACUUUUUCUUUUUUUGCUUAUUGCUCAUGACAAUUUAAGGAUUUGACUAUGACCUUAGGAUAAUCCAAAAUGCCUAUGUGCUGUGGCCCAUAGGUUAAUAUCAAACACAUUGUACUGAAAGCAAGGAGCCAAAAUGUUCUCUGAGAAGCUUGUCUUUAAAGGGAUGGCAAAAUUUUGUUUUCAGGAAUCAUACUUUAGAGUAUUUUAUUUCCUUUAACUACGCAUGUGCCUCUCAAAUUUUAAGCUGCUUUGAGGUAUGCUGUUGUUUAAUUUGAGCAUUAUCAUAGUAUUUGGCCUGUGGUGAAGAAAUAUAUAAUUAUCUGAACAGCAGAAUUUAACAUUCAUUGGUAUUAGUUGCCCUUGUUGAACUAAUACAAACAUUUAUUGAGCACAUACUUUAGGUACUCUGGGGGAUACAAAGAUAAAUCUGACAUGAUCCCUCUCUCAAGAAAUUUAAAGUUCAGAAUACAAAUAGCUCUACUGGAAAGAAAAUACGAUUCAUGACAUGAGUUAGGUACAAAGCAUACGGGAAUUCUGAAAAAGAGAUCAUAUGAGGUUGAAAUUUUCAGGCAGAGUUUCAAAAAAGAGAAGAAAUUUGAUAUGGGCCUGGAAGAAUAAAUCGUACAUAUAGGUUAUGGCUCAUUCCCAGUCGAAAACAUUUUAGAUUAUACAUAUCUUGAGAACCACAGAGUCAGUUACUUACAUGGUGAUGAGGGAGAAAUCUAUUAAUCAACAGAUUAAUAUUAAUUCAGAAAAUAUGUUGAUUUAAAUUUAAACUCACAACUCAACUUAGAGAUACCGUGAACCACCCAGGUAUGACGCACUUUUCAAAUUAAUUAUAGCUCCUAUUUAGAAAGAGGGUUAUCAAUUAGUGCCAGGUACUAUUACAGGUGCUUUUCUCAUACUACCUUGCUUAAGCCACUCAACAAUCCUAUAAGGUAGUAAUUGUUCUCAUUUUACUAAUAAAGUCACUAUGACACAGUCACAUUGAGUAAAACGUGGCUAAGGAAACAUUGCUAUUAAUAAGCUGCUGCUGAGAUUUAAGCCCAGGUUUGACUGAUUAUAGAAUCUGAGAUCUUAACCAAUCUGCUAUGCUGUUACUCUAAGGGUAGAGACGGAGGUGUUGAUUACCCUCUGACUUAUAUCUAAUUUCUUGUCUUCUUCCUAGACUCUUUUCUUCCCUGACAUGCACUGGUACGUCAUGACAGUUUUGGAUUUACUUUUUUCUUCACUUUGAAAACUUUGUAAAAAGAACUUCCUGUGGCUUGAAUUUUAUUUCCCAGUCAGAUAUGCCUGCUUGCUUUAUUACUUGCAUGACAUCGCAACCUUUCUAUGCCUCUUGGUUAUGAUCAUACCCUGUCAGUGCUCAAGAGCAGACUGGGAUCCAAAUUUCCAUCAAGACUUACAAAAGGGUAUCUCUAAGCCCUUAAGUCAAUAGUUUUACCAUUUCUGGCAAUUGCCCGAGGCAAAUUGGAGCCUUUCACUAGCCAGCAUUUGUUUGUACUAGUUUCUGGUGCUCUGCUACAUUUAAUAGCAACUAGUUUCCCAGCUUACUUGGGACAGAAUUCACUAUGUUUGGGCCAAACGAAAUGCGGUUAAAUGAUGUUUUUCUUUGACUUUCUAAUUUAUAACUUCGAGAAACAGAUUCAGUCAUAGAUGGCAGGAUACAUGCUUGAGAUACUGACUUAUGCCAAACAGGGCCUAUCCUAACUGCCAAUUAAGAUGAUGGUGGCAGUGGUGGUGGGAGAGAGGAUGGGGGAGAAAAGAUGGUGGUGGUGGUAGUGGUGGUGGUAGGGUUGUAAGGGUGAUACAAGAACAACAACAAAAAAACCCCACCAUUCUUUGUACAACACAAUCUCCCUUUAAUUAUCAGAUUGUCUUACAAUUAUUUGAAAUUCAUCAGCUUUAAUUUACAUACAAGAUGAGGCCACUAUAGUGCAGUACAUUGAAAUCAGAAACAAAUUGCAUGUGUGAAGUUAAACAGCACAUUUAGCUUUUUAGAGAGACAAUUUGAGGAGAUUUCUAGGUUGUUCAUAUGUGACUCAAUUUAUGAAUAAUUGACAACUCUCAAUAAUAAUCAUUAUUAUAUCCAGUUAACUUCAUACAAGAGUAGCUUCUUUGACCCUCUCUCUAGACUAGCCUGACAUUAACAGUUCUGUGACAUUGUUGUUACACUUGGUGAAACUGCUGAUUAAAUUUCUGUCCCUUCCCUGAUAAGAUGAAGACAAUCUAGCAUUGUACAUGAAGGACCUGUAUGGUCCUGACUUGUUUCAUCUUCUUGCCAUUAGGGUGUGCCAUUCUUUUCCUGGAGUGGUGAGCACCUUAACCUUUACUCUGACCUAUCUUAGAAAUCAUCUUGUUCCUUCUCAUUGUGCUUAGGGAUGGCAGGAAGUAGCAUUAAAACUUCCUAUUUUUUUCUCAUACUGCUGUGUUGGUACUUUUUUUUGUAAAGUAUCAUUUGAUUACAGGAAAAAAAGAUCUUGUCUUUAACUCUACUUUGCAUCUGGGAAAUUAAGUUGGCAUCUGGACUAAGUAAUGCUUACUGAAUAAAUUAGCAAAGUAUAUAAUACCAAUGUUAGAUGUCACUCAAUUAAACUUCAUACCAUUAGAUAUCGGAAAAGCAUGACCUAACAAUUUUCUGUUGGGAUACAAAGGUGUACAUAUUCAUUCAAAAAACAUUUAUUGAGUAGAUUCUAUGUACCAGGUUCUAUAUUGGACACCAGUGACACAAUGAAUAAUCGAACUUGUUCACUGCUUUUUAUGUCCAGGAAUCAAAAAAUGGCAUGAACCAACUGUUAUAUAUACAUCAUGGUAGGCUCAACAAAAAAUAAUUUUUCAACCGAAUGUCGAUCUAGUGGACCCAGUCACCAACUUACAUGCAAUCUUGUAUUAAUGGACACUGCAGAUAGACAUAUUCCCCAUCAGACCCUAUGUGGGGUAUCAUAUCAGGUGGCUGACACUGCCCAUUAAACAAUGUUUGAUUUCUCCAUGUUUCUCAAAGAGAGAGACACAUGAUUCCAUUAUCACCCAAGGAAGCCACAUUCUUAAUUUAUUCUAUUAUUAUGGGGGGUAUCCAUCACCUUAAGCAUGUAGUCUUUGUGUUACAAACAAUCCAAUUAUGUACUCUUAGUUAUUUUAAAAUGUACAAUUAAGUCAUUAUUGAAUACAGUCACCCUGUUGUGCUAUCAAAUACUAGAAUUUAUUCUUUCUAACUAUGAUUUUGUACCCAUUAACCAUGUCCACUUUCCCCCGCACCCCCACACAAUUCUUCACAGUCACUGGUAACCAUGCUUCUUCUUUCUUCAUGAAUUCAAUUGCUUUAAUUUUUAGCUUCCACAAAUAAGUGAGAACAUGCAAAGUUUGUCUUUCUGUGCCUGGCUUAUUUAAAUUAACAUAAUGACCUCCAGUUCCAUGAUGUUGUUGCAAAUGACAGGAUCUCAUUUCUUUUUUUAUGGCUGAACCAUACUCCAUUGUGUAUAUGUGCCCCAAUUUUAUUUAUCCAUUCAUCUGUUGACAGACAUUGGAGUGCUUCUAAAUCUUGGCUAUUAGGAAUAAUUCUGCCAUAAACAUGGGAGUGCAGCUAUCUCAUUGAUAUAUAGAUUUCCUUUCUUUUGAGUAUAUACCUAACAGGUGGAUUGCUGGAUUGUAUGGUAACCAUAUUUUUAAUUUUUUGAGUAAUCUCCAAACUGUUCUCCAUAGUGGUUAGAUUAAUUUACAUCCCCACCAAAAGUGUACAGGGUGUCUUUUACUCCACAUCCUUGCCAGAGUUUGUUAUUGCCUGACCUUUGGAUAUAGGCCAUUUCAACUGGGGCGAGAAGAUAUCUCUUAGUUUCAGUUUGCAUUUGUCUGAUGAUCAAUAACAUUGAGCACUUUUUCACAUACCUUUUUGCCAUUUAUAUGUCUCUUUUUGAGACAUGUCUAUUCAGAUCUUUUCCCUAUUUUAAAUUAGAUUAUUUGAUUUUUUUCCUAAAGAGUUGUUUGAGCUCCUUAUAUAUUUUGGUUAUUAUCUCUUCUCAGAUGGAUAGUUGCAAAUAUUUUCUCCCAUUCUGCUGGUUGUCUCUUCACUUUCCUUUGUUGUGCAGAAGAUUUUUAACUUGAUAUGAUCCCAUUUGUCCAUUUUUGCUUAGCUUGCCUGCGCCUGGGGUAGUACUCAAUAAACCUUUGUCCAGUCCAUUGUCAUGGAGAGUGUCCUAAUCUAUUUUAAUAGUUUGAGGUGUUAGAUUUAAGUCUUUAAUUCAUUUUAACUUUAGUUUUGAAUAUGAAAAGACAGUGGGGUCUAGUUUUAUUCUUUUGUAUAUGGAUAUCCAGUUUUCCCAGCACCAUUUAUUGAACAGACUGUCUUUUCCCCAAUGUAUGUUCUUGGCACCUUGUCAAAAGUGAGUUUACUGUAGAUGAAUAGAUUUAUCUCUGGGUUCUCUAUUCUGUUUCAUUGAUCCAUGUGCCUGUUUUUAUUCCAGUUCCAUGUUAUUUUGGUUACUAUAUCUCUGUAGUAUAAUAUGAAGUCAGGUAGUGUGAUUCCUCCAGUUUUGUUCUUUUUGCUCACAAUAGCUUUGGCUAUUCUGGGUCUUCUGUGGUUCCAUAAAAAAUUUAGAAUUUUUUUUACAUCUGUGAAAAAUGUCAUUCAUAUUUUGGUGGGGAUUACAUUUAAUGUGUAGAUUGCUUUGGGUAGGAUGGACAUUUUAACAAUACUUAUUCUUCCAAUCCAUGAACAUGGAAAAUCCUUUUAUUGUGUUUGUAGCCUGUUCAAUUACUUUCACCAAUGUUUUACAGUUUUUAUUGCAGAAAUGUUUCCCUUCUUUGGCUAAUUUAUUUUCUAGGUUUUGAAUUUUAUUUGUAGCUAUUGUAAGUGAGAUUACUUUUUCAUUUAUUUUUCAAAUUUUUUGCUGUUGGUGUAUAGAAACAAUACUGAUUUUUGCAUGUAGAUUAUGUGCCCUGCAACUUUACUUAUUUAUCAGUUCUAACAGUUUUUUUGGGAGUCUUCAGGUUUUCACAAACAUAAGAUCACAUCAUCCUCAAACAAGGAUAAUUUGAGUUUUUCCUUUCCAAUGCGGAUGCCCUUUAUUUCUUUCUCUUGUCUGAAUGUUCUAACUAGGACUUCCAGUACUAUGUUGAAUCAGUGGUGAAAGUGGGCAUCUUUGUCUUGUUGCAGAUCUUAGAGAAAAGACUUUCGGCUGUUUUCCAUUCAGUAUGAUACUAGUUUUCGGCCUGUUGUAUAUGGCUUUUAUUAUUUUUAGGUUAUGUUUCUUCUAUAUCCACUUUUUGAAGGUUUUUAUCAUGAAGUGAUGUUGAAUUUUAUCAAAAGCUUUUUUAGCAUCAGUUGAAACGAUCACAUGUUUUUUCCCUUCAUUUUGUUGAUAUAAUGUAUCACACUGAUUGAUGUGCUUAUGUUCAGCCAUCCUUGCAUCCCUGGCAUAAAUCCCACUUGGUCAUGAUAAAUAAUCUUUUUACUUUGUUGAUAAAUAUCCUUUGUUAGUAUUUUGUUGAGGAUUAUUGCAUCAAUACUCAUCACAGAUAUCAGCCUAUCAUUUUCUUUUUCUGAUGUGUCUUUGUCUAGUUCUGUUGUCAGUGUAAUAUUUACCUCAUAGAAUGAGUUUGGAAAUAUUCUUUUCUCCUUUAUUCUUCAGAAUAGUUUGAGUGGGAUUGGUGUUAGUUCUUCCUGAAUGUUUGUAAAAUUCAUCAGUGAAGCCAUCCAGUCCCAAGAGUUUUGAAGGGUGAGAUAACAGAAAGAUAUCCUGUUGCACUCAGUAGGGCUGGUGUGUUUAUCUACCUUUAUGCCUUUUGGAUUUUAUUAUGUCUGGGCGAUUUUCCAAUAUGUUAUAAACAUGAUGUUUUAGGACUCUCCUUGAUUGAACUAUGAUCAUAUAUCUGGACAAUGUUUUAGUUUACUUAUGACAGUAUUGUCCAGAUGGUCCUGGACUGUCUCCAAUAGAAUCAGCUUUGUGCUUAAAAUGUAGAAGUAUGAGCUUUAUGAAGUCCAAGUCAAGUUUAUGAUUUCCCUAAUAUCCUCACAAGGAAUUGGGAUGAACUUCUAGAGAGUCAGAUCACUACUGAUUAAAGGACAUGAACAGACGCUUUUCAAAAGAACAUAUACAAACAGCCAACAAGCGUAUGGAAAAAAGCUUGAUAUCACUCAUCAUUAGAGAAAUGCAAAUCAAAGACACAAUGAUAUACCAUCUCACACAAGUAAGAAUGGCUCUUAUUAAAAAGUCAAAAAGUAACACACUUACACACUGUUGGUGUGAGUGUAAAUUAGUUAACUCAUUGUGGAAAUCAGUGUGACAAUUCUCAAAGAGCUAAAAACAGAACUACCAUUCGACCCAGCAAUCCCAUUACUGGGUAUAUGCCCAAUGGAAUAUAAAUAAUUCUACUAUAAAGACAUGCAUGUGAAUGUUUAUUGCAGCACUAUUCACAAUAGCAAAGACAUGCAAUUAACUUGAAUUUCCAUCAAUGACAGAUUGAAUAGAGAAAGUGUGGUUCCAUAUAGACAAUGGAAUACUAUGCAACUGUAAAAAAAAAGAAUGAGAUAAUGUAUUUUGUGGGAAUAUGGAUGGAGCUGGAGCUCAUUAUCCUUAGCGAACUAACACAGGAACUGAAAGCCAAAUACCACAUGUUCUCACUUGUAAGUGGGAGCUAAAUGAUGAAAACUCAUGGACACACAGAGAGGAACAACAGACACUGGGACCUACUUGAAGGUGGAGGGUGGGAGAAAAAAGAGGAUCAGAAAAAAUAACUAUUGGGUACUAGACUCAGUGCCUGGGUGACAAAAUAAUUGGUACAACAAACCCCUGUGACACGAGUUUACCAAUAUAACAAACUUGCACAUGUACCCCUGAACCUAAAAGAAAAGUUUAGAAAAGGACGCAUAUCUAAUUCUAAAACAAAUACUAAUAAUUUUUCACAUUCCACUGAUAAUUAAAUGAGGUGCUUCCUCCCAUUUUUGGCCCUGGGUAUCUCUCUAACCAAUCUUUUGAGAUUAACAUGAGACAUGUCAGUGGACUCCUGUGUCCCCAAAAGCUUUCAAAGAAUUAAAAUACAGAUUCACUUCUGCUAACAUCCUUGUAUAUUUUUAUCUAUAAAGAGAGAUAAUUUACGUUAGUAUUCAGUCUAUUUUCUCCCUCUUAAAAAAGGAAAACCCUUUAGAUUUUCCAUCCCGGUCACCUCCCUAUAUAUUUCUUCUCCUUUAAAGCUGUGUUUUAAAGAGCUAUCUGCAUAUGAACAACAGUUGAACUCACUGUAGUCAUCCACCUACACCCUAUUCACAAAAACUAAUUUUGCUAAGGUUAUCAAUGUCCUUUAUUUUGAAAAUUAUGUGGAGUAAGUCCUAAUGUACUUGGCCUAUCGUCAUUAAAUGCUUGAGUCCUCUCUCCUUGAACCACUCUCUUGGCAUUAAUGACAUUUAACUCCUUCUACCUUUAUGCACUCUCUCACAGCCUCUUUACCUUCUUAAUAUAGUCUUUAAAUAUUGGAAUUCCUCAGGACUUCAUUCUGGUUGCUCUUUUCUUCUCUAUUGUUUUACAUCUUCAUCGAAACCUCACUCACUCUUAUGACAUUAACGGUUGUCUACAUGCUGAUUACUCUCCCAGUACGCCAAAUCCAGAAUCUUAUAUUUAACUACCUACUUAAUAAUGACACUUCAGUGUAUCCCAGGCAAGCCAAAAUGAAGACGAUCCAAACUGAAUAUUUGAUAUCCACUUGCUCAACUUGUCUCUCAAUCAUUAUUCUCCAUUUUAAUAAAUAUCUUCACUUCAUAAACAUGGUAGUCAUUAUUGACACCUCCCUGUAUUUUAUCUUUCAUAUUCAGUCAAAUACCAAGCUCUGUAGAUAAAUCCUCCAAAAUAUAUUACAAAUAGAUAAAAUCUUUUUCAUUUCUGUUACCACUAUGCAGCGCUGUUUUUUUAAAUGUGUAUUUUAUUGCUCUUUCUAUUUAUUUAUUUAUUUCUAACCUUUAUUUUAUGUUCAGGGGAUACAUAUGCAGGUUUGUUAUAUGGGUAAAUUGUGUGUUGUGGGGUUUGGUGUACAAAUUACUUCAUCACUCAGAUAAUGAGCAUAGUACCUGACAGGUAGUUUUUCAGUCUUCAACCUCCUAUCACCCUCCACCAUCAAGUAGACCCCAGUGUCUAUUAUUCCUUUCUUUGUGUCCAUGUGUACUCAAUAUUUAGCUAACACUUGCAAGUGAGAACAUGUAAUAUUUUGUUUUCUGUUUCUACAUUAAUUUGCUUAUGCUAAUAGUCUCCAGAUCCAUCCAUAUCGCUGUGAAAGAUAUGAUUUUGUUCUAUUGUUAUGGCUACAUAGUAUUCUAUGGUGUAUAUGUACCACAUUUUCUUUAUCCAGUCCACUGUUGAUGGAUAGGCAUUUACAUUGAUUCCGUGAGUUUGCUAUUGUGACUAGUACUGUGAUGAAUAUACACAUGCAUGUGACUUUAUGAUAGAAUUAUUUAUAUUUCUUUGCCAGUAUUUCACUCUCUUUAGGAAGCCCUUUCCGACCUCCCUUACUCAUUCUUUUUGUGUAACACUUCAGAACACAAUGUGCCUAUUCUUCAUAUUACUUGCUGCUGUCACAUUUUGCAGUUUCAGGAUAAUCAGGUAAAUAAAUAUCUGCAUCUUUCACUAGGUUGUAAGUUCCAUAAGAGCCUUGCUUUAGUCUAUUGUGUACAUUACCUGGUACACAAUGGGCAUUCAAUAAAUAAUUGUUAAAUGAAUUAUAUAAUGCCAUAGUAGUUUUUAGCAACAAGUGGGCAUUUACCAUGUUCCAGAAAAUUUGGCAAGUGUUAUACAUAAAUUGUCUCAUUUAAUCAUCUCAAUUAUCUUAUGAAGAGAGUACUAUUAUUAUAUUAUUUUCUAUAGAUAAAGAAAUUGGGCCCAAAUAAUCUAAAAAUAUUUCUCAAAUUUGCAUAACUAAUAAAAGGCAGAAAAACAAUUUAAAUAUAUUUCUGUUAGGCUCCAAAGUUUGUGUUUAUUAGAAACUCAAGCUCUUUCAGUUUGUCUUUGCUAGAAUAGUUUAUCUGGACAUUUUAUUGCUGUCACAAGCCUUAAUAUAAAAUGUUAUCUUAUAUUUUUAUUUUCAGGAGGUCUCUACUAUAUAUUACUUGUUAAAAUUUUUAGGAAGCUUUAGGUUUGUUUUUCAGUGAUUCACUUAAGCAGGCAAAAAAUCCUACGUAUAAAUGACAUUUUCUGUCAAAUGAAACCUCUAUUUUCCUGUUAGUGUUUGCCUUUCACAUGUAAUACAUAUAUUUUAGCAUAUACAUCACCUCAUGCAAGGAAUAUUAACUUUAUAAUGUAUAAUACUUGAUAUAAGGUUUUGAAAAACACUGUUCCAUAACAUUUAAUAAAUCCAGGUCUUAGACCAAAGUGCAAAAUACACUGACUGACUUACUCAGUGCCUAGGCAAACUUGAAGAAGUUUUGGUACUAUUUUCAAAGUUUAUGCCUUCUCUCAAUGUUGAUAGAUGCUUGUAUUUCCGAGCUUAGCUGCAGAAUAACCUGAAUUUCAUACUACGGUGUCAUCUUUAUGUUGUUUCAACAUGUUAAUGAUGACAGACAUCCUCAUUCCCUAUUGGCAGUUACCCAUUCAAGACGUCUUUUAAUUUUUAUAGAUGUGCGAAUUAGAUGGCAUUAUUAGGAGUGCGGGUUGCUUGUGUUUUUGUAACUAUGUGUUGCCUUUUCAUUAUAAUCACCAUAUUGUGCAAUUCUAGGGAUCCCAAUCUCUAUUUUAGUUUAUGUAAAUGAUUCCUAAGGAGUUUCAUAGUGUAUAGCCUGUGAAGCCAUAUAUUGUGAAGUAUCAUCUUCUCUUUCUUAUUCACCCACAAAUAGUGAGUGAAUUCCACAUAGUAAUCACAGAAACAUAAAACGAAGACUUUGCUUAUUAUGUCCUCUGUUACCAACAUCAUAAAUGUCUUAUAUUUCCACACCUGAAUUUACAUAUAGUAAUGUCUUAUAUACUUCAAUUCCAAACAUUCUUGUAUUAAUUAGGCCUCUUAGUGACAAACACCUGAAACCAACUCUAACAAGUUAAGUAAAAACAAAUUUAGUAAGCGAUACUGAGGGCUCACAGAAGUGAUAAAAGGGUAGAAGAUCAGGAGGAUCUAUGAGAGCGAGGAGUAGGACACACACACAAAAAACACAGCUACUGUCUUUUAGAAGGGCCCACCCAUUUAAUAGAUAUUGCUGGCUUGUCAGUUUUUCUGCCAUCACCACCACAGCUGCUAUUGUAAUAGAUAUGUCAAAGUAUGUAUCCUGACUUUAAUACUUUAUUCAAUAUUUAAAGUCCAGGGAAAGGGUUUUUGAUUGGCUGCAAUUAGAUCAUGUGUCCAACCUCCUGAUCCUCUCAGCCCUAUAGGCGGAGUUAUGAAAUGGAACAGUGGAAGAUGGGCACAGGGAUUUAUCACUGUGCCAAUACUACACAUAAUGAAGAAGUAGUAAAUUCCCAAAAGUAAACUGAAAUGUUAUUAGGAAGGAUGUGGUUUCUGGCAGCCAAAAAUCCCUCAAUUUGAGCAAUGUCUGCUAUAAGCCCUCUUUCAUGUCAAUUAUGGGUUCCACUUGCAUUACCUACUUCUCACCUGUGACACUGCACAUAAUCUUUUCUUAUAUAAACUGGCUUUGCAGUUUUAUGUCCCUGGUACUGUUGGAAUCAAGUACACUAUCUUGGUUACUGGAAAGUAGAUAUUAAUAGAAUAAAAUAUAAGAAAUGUAAGAUUAGCAUCCCACUUCAAUAUUGUUCAUCUUCCUCAUAGAUUAAAAAAAAGACACUAAUGAUUUCACUAUUUCCCAUGCAUGAACCUGAGAACAGAGGAAUGCCAAAUUGCCUAGAAUUCCCUGGCUGCUGCAUUCUUUAAACUGUAUCUACCUAGGGGUCACUUAUAAAAUGAUGUUGCAUUGAAAACAGAUGGAAUUAUCUCAUACUGUAUUGGAAGAACAUUGCAUGCCCUAGUGAUUUAUUUACUCCCUCAUCUCUGUCCUGAUUCCAUUCUUUUCUCAUCUGUACUUGUGUUUCACUACGGCCUUAGCUCUGACUUUAGUAACAUGAUUAAUAACCUAAUUUGGGCUGGGACUGUAUUUCUUCAGUCUGUCUUCUGUUUGCUUCUUAAAACCAUGAACUACAUUGCUCAAUUCCUUGUUUCAUCUAUUCCAGACACUUUGAGUUACAGAAGUUUUAUUUAUGUUCCUGAGAUGGGAUCCACUCUCUGCUGUGCUUCAGGCCAGUCCAGCAUCUUUUCCUCAUGACCAAAACAGUUUGUCAAGAAGUAUUUUUUUCAAUUGCUCACAGAAAAUUGAUUCUCUGUAGCUGGCAUGUUUCUGUUUGUUCUGAUCUUUUGCUUCCCUCUAGCGGCCAAUGUUUGCAUAUGUAUAUGAGGCUAGCAAACUGUGUGUGUGUGUGUGUGUGUGUGUGUGUGUGUGUGUGUGUGUGUGUGUGUGUAUAAAAUUGAUGGAAUUUCUAUGGUUUCCGUCUCAUCACUCCAUUGCUAGCCAUAUAUAUAUGCACACACAUAUAUGUGUAUAUAUGUUUAUAUAUGAUCUAUAUGUGUAUAUAUUUGAUAUAUAUCAUAUAUAUGAUUUAUGUGUCUCAUAUAUCAUAUAUAUGGAUGUAUACAUUGUGAAACCCAAAAAUCUGAGACAGGUCUCAUUUAAAUUAGAAAGUUUAUUUUGCCAAGGUUGAGGACGCGCGCCCGUGACACAGCCUCAGGUGGUCCUAACAACAUGUGCCUUCCCAAGGUGGUAGGAGCACGGUUUGGUUUUAUACAUUCUAGGGAGACAUGAGACAUCAAUCAACAUAUGCAAGAUGAACAUUGGUUCGGUCUGGAAAGACGGGAUAACACGAAGCAAAGGUGAGAAGACUCAAAGGGGGAGGGGGCUUCCAGGUCAUAGGUAGAUAAGAGACAGAUGGUUGCAUUACUUUGGGUUUCUGAUUAGCCUCUCCAAAGGAGGCAAUCAGAUGUGCAUUUAUCUCAGUGAGCGGAGGGGCGACUUUGAACAGAAUAGGAGUCAGGUUGGCCAUAAGCAGUUUCCAGCUUGACUUUUCCCUUUAGCUUAGUGAUCUGGGGCCCCCAAGAUUUAUUUUCCUUUCACAAUAUGUGAGUGUAUGUAUUAUAUAUAUAUGUAUUAUAUAUGUAUAUAUCAUAUAUGUAUAUACAUCAUAUAAGUGUGUGUGUGUAUAUAUAUGAGGCUAGCAAUGGAGUAAUGAGAUAAAAACAUAGAAAUUCCAUCAAUUCAAUAUCAGAUACAUUUUUAAAAUUUAUUGACAAAUUUAUAAAGAAGCUAAAGAACUUAAAAGAUAUAGAUAGGUUUAAAGGAUACCAACUAGGUUUAUAAAAUUGUUUUGAAGUAAAAACAAUAAGACUUGCCUUACCCCUCUACUUUUAAUACUGUUUUGUGUAUUUUACCCUUCUAGGCUGUAUAUGUCAGAGGAUAUCAUAUCUGAUCAAAAGAAAAAAAAGAUCAAGACAAGAUGAAAAGAACCAAAAUGUGAAUAUACAGUUAUAACAUUAAAAUUAAAGUAAAUAUUAUUUUUUACUAUCUCUGGGGGAACAGAACUAUUUGCUCUGCUGAUGGGUAUUUAUUUCCCUUUUCCUUAUUUAUAAGAAAGUGAAAGAUAUUUCACUGACAUAGAAUUUGACAGUUUCAGGAAUAUCAGAGUAGAUAGCAAUGAGUAUAAAGUAAACAAAAAAAGACAACUCUUAUCUAUUUUUCUACCACUAUACUAUUAUUUCUACUUUUACUUCUGGUACUACUACUAUUAUAAUGACAAUAAAGAAACUACUACUACUACCACCACCAUAAUGACCUCAUAAUAAUAACAAUUAAUGUAAAUCAAGCAAUAACUUUAUACCAGGCAAUGUGGUAAUUACUUUACAUACAUCUUAUUUAAUUCCCACAACAAUGCUCAGAGUCAGAUACUAUUGUAAGCCCUAACUUACAGAGGAAGACAUCCUAAGGCAUACAGCAGCUGCAGUCUGCCUGCCACUGAAUUUUAUCCAGGGUCUGAGCCUGCUGAAGUCAGUUGGUGAAGCAAGAGAAGACAGGCAGAAUAAGAUGGCAGAGAAAGACUCUCCAGCGACCAUCCCUCAAUAGAAACAUCAAUUUGAACAACUAUCCACACAUGAAACAAAUCUUCGUAAGACUCAGGAAACCAGGUGCAGGACAAAGGACAGACAGAACUCAGUCAACCCUCUGCUCACCUGAGAAAAAGUGCAUAUCUAAUUGCUUCUUUGGCCCUAUUGUUUAUGCAAGAAUGCUGAUUCAUUUGUCUAUUUUGGCUUUUGUUGCCAUUGCUUUUGGUGUUUUAGUCAUGAAGUUGUUGCCCAUGCCUAUGUCCUGAAUGAUAUUGCCUAGGUUUUCUUCUAGGGUUUUUAUGGUUUUAGGUCUUACAUUUAAGUCUUUAAUCCAUCUAGAGUUAAUUUUUGUAUACGGUGUAAGGAAGGGAUCCAGUUUCAGCUUUCUGUAUAGGGCUAGCCAGAUUUCCCAACACCAUUUAUUAAAUAGGGAAUCCAUUGGGAUCUAAUUAAACUAAACAGCUUCUGCACAGCAGAGGAAACUAUCACCAGAAUGAACAGGCAACCUACAGAAUGGGAGAAAAUUGUUGCAAUAUAUCCAUCUGACAAAGAGCUAAUAUCCAGAAUCUACAAAGAACUUAAACAAACUUACAAGAAAAAAACAACCCCAUCAAAAAGUGGGCAAAGGAUAUGAACAGACACUUCUCAAAAUAAAACAUUUAUGCAGCCAACAAACAUAUGAAAAAAAGCUCAUCAUCACUGGUCAUUAGAGAAAUGCAAAUCAAAACCACAAUGAGAUACCAUCUUACACCAGUUAGAAUGGUGAUCAUUAAAAAGUCAGGAAACAACAGAUGCUGGUGAGGAUGUGGAGGGAUAAGAACGCUUUUACACUGUUACUGGGAGUGUAAAUUAGUUCAACCAUUGUGGAAGACAGUGUGGCAAUUUCUCAAGGAUCUAGAACUAGAAAUACCAUUUGACCCAGCAAUCCUAUUUCUGGGUAUAUACCCAAAGGAUUAUAAAUCAUUCUACUAUAAAGACACAUGCACACGUAUGUUUAUUGUGGCACUGUUCACAGUAGCAAAGACUUGGAACCAACUCAAAUUCUCAUCAAUGAUAGACUGGAUAAAGAAAAUGUGGCACAGAUAUGCCAUGGAAUACUAUGCAGCCAUAAAAAGGAUGAGUUCAUGUCCUGUGCAGGGACAUGGGUGAAGCUGGAAACCAUCAUCCUCAGCAAAGUAACACAAGAACAGAAAACCAAACACUGCAUGUUCUCACUCAUAAGUGGGAGUUGAACAAUGAGAACACAUGGACACAGGGAGGGGAACAUCCCACCAGAGCCUAGUGGAGGGUGGGGGCUAGGGGAGGGAUAGUAUUGGGAAAAAUACCUAAUGUAGAUGAUGGUUUGAUGGUUGCAGCAAAUCACCAUGGCAUGUGUAUACCUAGGUAACAAAUCUGCACAUUCGGCACAUGUACCCCAGCACUUAAAGUAUAAUAAAAAAAAGCCAAAAAGAAAUGCAGAUUCACUAGGCCUGUCCAAAGCAUAAGUCACUUUCCUCUAUGCCACCUCAUAUGUAAAUUUUGUAUUUAAUGAAAGGCUAAUCACAGUAUUCAGUGAAAAGCUAAUGAGAGACUCAAAAGAAU
rnacentral:lncRNA from 1 species